rnacentral:rRNA from 1 species
AUUGAACGCUGGCAGCAUGCCUUACACAUGCAAGUCGAACGGCAGCAUGAUCUAGCUUGCUAGAUUGAUGGCGAGUGGCGAACGGGUGAGUAAUACAUCGGAACGUGCCCUGUAGUGGGGGAUAACUAGUCGAAAGAUUAGCUAAUACCGCAUACGACCUGAGGGUGAAAGUGGGGGACCGCAAGGCCUCAUGCUAUAGGAGCGGCCGAUGUCUUAUUAGCUAGUUGGUGAGGUAAAGGCUCACCAAGGCGACGAUCAGUAGCUGGUCUGAGAGGACGAUCAGCCACACUGGGACUGAGACACGGCCCAGACUCCUACGGGAGGAAGCAGUGGGGAAUUUUGGACAAUGGGGGCAACCCUGAUCCAGCAAUGCCGCGUGUGUGAAGAAGGCCUUCGGGUUGUAAAGCACUUUUGUCCGGAAAGAAAUCGCACUUACUAAUAUUAGGUGUGGAUGACGGUACCGGAAGAAUAAGGACCGGCUAACUACGUGCCAGCAGCCGCCGUAAGAC